UACGUAGGCAGCAAGCGCUGUUCGGAGUUACUGGGCGUAAAGGGUGUGUAGGCGGUUCUUUAAGUUUGGUGAUGAAUCUCCCGGCUCAACCGGGAGGGUGCGCCGAAACUGAAGGCUAGAGUGCGGGAGAGGAGAGUGGAAUUCCUGGUGUAGCGGUGAAAUGCGUAGAUAUCGAGGAGGAACGACCGGUGGUGUAAACGGCU
rnacentral:rRNA from 1 species